GGGGAGAGGACGAGGGAGUGCUGAUGGCUCCGGGAGUUCCUCAGCAGGAAUGGGGAAGCAGGUGAGCAGGAUGACGGGGUAGCUGAUGGCUCCGGGAGUUCGUCAGCGGGAAGAGGAAUCAGGGAUCGGUGACAGUCUCAAUAUUGCAACCCUAGGAGACCUCCCUGGCUGGACAGAUUAAUUAAGGAAAUCCUGCAUGUCGUGAUGAUGAACGUGGAUAUGGAUCCCUACAUCUGUAUUUACACAUCUCUUCUCACCCCUACAGUUAAGAACAUUUUGCUAGAUUGCUCAACUGGCUAGAAUCUCUCCAGCAUCUGCUUAAUUACAUAAAACCUACUAUACUUAGUACACUAACAAUACAAGAUCGGUUGACUUCUUGUUUACCUUCAAGAAUCAUACCCAUAGCCUUGGUCACGUGACAUGACCAUGUCUAACCACAUUUCAGAACAGUGUUUCAAAACAACUGUGCUUCGGAAUCGACACAACUUCGAAACAUCUAUAUUUAGCGUCCCAUCCCUCUAGUUUCGUACUUUAAUUUCCCUCAAAAUACAAUGAUUUUAAGCUUCUUGUAUGUUACUUCAACAUUUCCCAUCUGGAAACUCUGGCCGUUGGGUUUAAAGACCCAUAAUUUUGUCAUGUUCUCAGUAUUUAUCUGGGCUAUAUAUAUUAAUACUUAAUACACAUCUUACAAACUGAGAAUAAUACCAACAACUACAAGUCCAACUACAAGUAUACAUACCAUAAGAAUAGUUUUAGAUUUUCGAAAUGUGUCAGGGAGAGAAAGACUAAGAGUGGUGGUUCCAACAUUUGAAGUGAUUAACUAUAAAUCAAGAAUAUAGAAAGAAUAAAGUAUAUUGAAGCAAUUUAUAAUUUAUUCUUGUUAUAUUUAGCCUACUUUUAUUUAGUGCAGCAAAAACUUGUUACUUAUUUUAUUAUGAAAUAAAUCAAAACUCAAAACGAUAUAAGUUAAUCAUUUAUAAGAUGCUGCCUGUUGUCAAGGUAUUUAAAGUCAGUGUGUUAUGAGUGACAAUGUUUGCUCUCGACUGCAGUGUUAUGGUCGAACAAGCUUAUUUUGAGACAUGUAUGAAGUGUUUGAGUGAGUUAUGGAGGUAAGACGAAUUGUUUGGCCAAGAUGCAUGCUUGUAAUGGAGACUGCGUGAAGAGUUUUUAAAAAGAGAAUUCAGUGACCAAUGCUUGUUAGCAAAUGAAUAAAUAAAGUUAAUCAAAAAGGCGACAUCCAUGCAAAAAGAAGUGGAGUUGCUUUGUCUUUGUUCAUUUGAAGACUAACUGUAGUGAGGGCCACUUCACAUAGCUUCUCUUCAGUUUCAGCAUGCAUUUUGUUUUUCAGCACAUGUGCAGUCGAAAGCAGAGGUCACGCAGACACAACAAACUGGUGGGUACAUAGAUGUCCACGCAAAGCUUCACAUGCACCCUCUGAUCGCUAAAAUCUACUUUAUGAUGACGUUUGCUGGGCCUUGCAUACUUUUGGAAGCAGAGAGUAUAUAUGCAGGGUUUUGGGGGUGUGAAAAUCCGGACAGCUCAGCCUGUGCAACUUUGAACAUGGAUUUUUCUCUCACAAGCCCCAGAACUUCAUAGAAACUAAGUGUAACCCAGGUUAAAAAGAAACAUGAUUUAGUAAAUA